GAUGAACGCUGGCGGCGUGCCUAAUACAUGCGAGUCGAGCGAACAGACGAGGAGCUUGCUCCUCUGACGUUAGCGGCGGACGGGUGAGUAACACGUGGAUAACCUACCUAUAAGACUGGGAUAACUUCGGGAAACCGGAGCUAAUACCGGAUAAUAUAUUGAACCGCAUGUUUCAAUAGUAAAAAACGGUUUUGCUUUCACUUUUAGAUGGAUCCGCGCCGCAUUAGCUAGUUGGUAAGGUAACGGCUUACCAAGGCAACGAUGCGUAGCCGACCUGAGAGGGUGAUCGGCCACACUGGAACUGAGACACGGUCCAGACUCCUACGGGAGGCAGCAGUAGGGAAUCUUCCGCAAUGGGCGAAAGCCUGACGGAGCAACGCCGCGUGAGUGAUGAAGGUCUUCGGAUCGUAAAACUCUGUUAUUAGGGAAGAACAAAUGUGUAAGUAACUAUGCACGUCUUGACGGUACCUAAUCAGAAAGCCACGGCUAACUACGUG
rnacentral:rRNA from 1 species